GACGAACGCUGGCGGCGUGCUUAACACAUGCCAGUCGAACGGAAAGGCCUGCUUUCCCUUGUGGAUUGCGGGUACUCGAGUGGCUAACGGGUGAGUAACACGUGAGUGAUCUGCCCCCAACUUGGGUAUAAGCCUGGGAAACUGGGUCUAAUUCCCGAUAUGACUGCAGGUUGGUGCCUGUGGUUGGAAACGAUUUUCUAGUGGUUGGGGAUGAGCUCUCGGCCUAUCAGCUGCUUGGUGGGGUAAUGGCCUACCAAGGCGGCGACGGGUAGCCGGCCUGGGGUGGUGGGCGGGAACGUGGGGACGGAGAUACGGCGCAGAAUACUACGGGAGGAAGCAGAGGGGAAUCAGGCACAAGGGGCGGAGGCCUAAGGCAGCAAGGCUGAGGGGGGGAUGACGGCUUUCGGGUUGUAAACUCCUUUCGAUAGAGAGGAAGCCACAUGGUUGGAGGGGUGGUGACGGUAGUGGUAGAAGAAGCACCGGCUAACUACGUG
rnacentral:rRNA from 1 species